UUUACCUAAAAUAUAAAACAAGACUUUUAAUUUAAGCAGGAACAUCCCAUCCUGUGUUAUGGAGGAGGUCAGACUAGAUGAUCCCAAUGAUCCCUCCUGGCCUUAAAAAUCUAUGAAUUUAUUUACAAUUGAUUAGUGAACAUGUGAACUAACUCCAUUGAUUAUCCUAUUUUAAACAGUUCAACCUUAGUUUAUCCGGCCUAUGUGGGAAGAUUCAUGGAAUAAGUGGAGAUAGAGAUAUUCUGAAGAAGUAGUGUCCUACCAUGGGUCAUAUUUAGUUUUUUUAAACAGUCUUUGUAAACUGACUUCAAAGUAAAGUGGAAAAAGUACACAAACUUUUUGACACUGGGAGUCUGGAUUUACUGAGGAGAAAAGCCAGAAGAAAAGUGAGUCAUAGAUGACAAACAUGGUGGUACAAAGGAAAGAAGAGCUAGCUGGAAUGACAAAGGAAGAGCGACAAGAGGAAAACACAGGCUAGAAACAUUCCAACGCCCCCACCAUGUUCCUCAGGGCCAGGAGUGUAUGGGCUUGUCUACAUGGGGACACUCAGGAAAGUUAAUGUGAAUCAACUAAAGGUGUGAAGUUAAUGCACAUAAGUUAAAAUAUGUUAAACUACCUGUGGAUUCUCUAUUCAGGAGUAAAGUAGCCUUAGUUCACUAUAAUUUAGGAAGGAUUAAGUCCAUAUUGAAAAUAUCCACCUCAAGUUUCAGUGAGAAUCAAGAGAUAUGGGGAGUGGCAGAUAUAAAAGGUCAGGGAUGGCAGUGAUACUUUCAGAGACACUGCAGGUACUCCUGAGUAGCAAAAGAAGGGAACAGGCAUGGGUAGGGAUAAGUGAGGUUGGAAGUGGCGAGUCCAGCAGAGAAGUUUGUAGGAGUUGGGAACGGUAGAAAGGAAUGGCCAGGGCUGAGAUGAUAUCACUGGAGGUGAGGAGGAAGCAGCAGAGAAUAUGUGGGAAGAGACUAUGACAUCUAGAAGGGGAAUGGAAAGAAUUAGAGAAGAGUAGGGGACUGGUCAUGAUAUUAAUCAAUCAGUUAUCCUAAGAAACAAUUAUUGUGAAAUUGAAAGUUAGUGUGAGCCAAAUAAUCAGGGAAAUAUUAUAUGGUGAAUCAAUUAUAGCAUGCAACAAAUAUGCAGAGAAACAACAGUAAUAUGAAUCAAUGCAGAGAACCAGUUAUGAGGUGAGUCAAGUAAGCAAAUAGGUAUGUAAUUAAUCUAUUAAGGAAUUAAUCAACUACAGAGGAAAUAAGAAUGCUGACAAUUAAUUAAAAAGCAAAUCACAUAUGCAGAGUAUUAAUUAUAGACAGAAUUAAAAAAGGGUGGUGAGGAUUAAUUAUAAAGUCAGUUAUAUAGAGGGCCAUCAAAGAAUUGGAAGACAAUGGGCGACCAGUAAGGAGGCUGAAUGCUUCUGGUGUUCUUGAGAAAUCAAGGACUUGGUGAUGUCAGCAACCACAUUCUAAAAAUGUUCUGAAGGCAUGCCCUGCUCAAAGGGAGAAAUGGUGGCUGAUCUUGGCAGGGCAAUGAUGUGCCUCUCUCAAAAGACUGCUGAGAGACUAGCUAGGGUGAGAGAACUGAGUUACUCAAAUAGGGAAAACAGUGAGGCUUUACCUCCUAGUUUAAUCUAGGAGUUACUCAGACCAUCACAAGAGAACCACCACCAAAACUUUGUUAAUCAUGAAUAAAGGUAUAUUUGUUAAGGAUCAUAUGAGUUUAAAGACAGUUUACACAGCACACAAUCAGUAUUUUUAUACACAGAACUGUCAGUUUAGCAGCAACCUUUGUGGGGAGCCAGUAAUAAAAAGUUCUAAGUGACAGUCCAAAAUGAUCUGUACUUUACAUAGGCUUCUGGAAGAGAUGGAUGACAUUAAUUAUACAGCAUAAGAGUGGAAUUAUCAUAUACAAAAAUGUAUCAGUUUAGCAGCUGCAGGUGAGGAUGGGAGGGGCUUUCCUUUAAAGUCAACCCCAAAUUAUCCUUUUAUUUCACUUACAUCAUUCUAGAACAUGCAGGUGAUAAUAAUUCCCUGGUGCCAUUAAGUAAGUGUCAUACACAGAUAUCUUAGGUUAGCAUCAGCUUGAUGGGGAGGGAGUGCCAGGGAAACGCAUUCUUUCCUUGAUAGAUAAUGUCCAUUAGUUAUGUUUAGAAAUAGCUCUUGGGAGAAGAACAACGGGACAAUUCCCUUUGGUCAUCCCAGAUCCCUAUUAACAGUCUUGCUCAUUUCUGUUUAAUGAUUACUAUAUACAGAACUCUCAAGUGGAGUUCCAGAUAGAGGAAAGGAAGAAAUCCAUUUUAGCCUUUACUACACUAGAGAAUUUUAGCAAAAACUUCCCACCAACUUUCAGUGGUAGCACCCGUGGCAACCCUAGUCUACACAAGGGGUCAGCAGCUUCUUAGUUAAUUGUAUUAAUUCAAUUCAAUAUUAAAGCUGCUCCUUGAAAAGUUUAAUUAAUUAAUACUGUGAUAGAAAGCCCAGCACUGGCUUGAGUUUUGGCUAUAGCAUGCAGUUAAACAGGAGAUUAUUUUUGCUACACCUCCCUAGCAUAAACGUGGCCUGAGAAGUCUGUCUGCUCAGUUUAUCAUUAUUGUUUUAACUUUCCACUGCUCCUGUAGUGCCAAACCAGUGCUGGUAAUGCUAGCGGGGACAGGCCCUGCCGCUUACACCCUGCUCCGCAGGGGAAGUAAGAAACCCUUUGCCAGGUUUCCAAGAAAGGUCCCUCUGGUGCAUGGAGCUGCGCUGGGGGGACACGCUCAGAACCUUGCAGUGCAGCGGUAGCUACAGACGCCUGCCUGACAGCGUGCCAGGAACAAGGCUCCCUCCUUUUACCUCCCACGGGGCUCUCACGUUAGCACCAGCUCCGGGGCUGCAAGGGAAGGGAGCAGCGCACAUCUGGCUGGGCAGGCCAAGCAGGGACCGCCUUGCGUGCUGUGCGAGAGGAUGUGGGUUAGCUCAAGCAGUGGCAACGCCCCCUCCAUGCAGGUCUAUGUGGAGAGCAGCAGAGCGACGCGGGGUCGAGGCAGGGGGGGGGGCAGGAAAGGGCCCCCGGGUGGGGGGGUCUGUACGGUAACCCCGCCCUAGGCUCCUCGGAAGAGGGGAAGGGCAGGGCAAGGGGACACCCCAGCAGGACACAGUUUUUGUCGCAGCAGUGCCAGGUUACCCGAGCUCCCUUCAGGGCUCCCCACCCCACGCGCCGGGCUGCCUGCGGGCGGCGGGGGCUCGGCCAGGCACCCACCCGGCCGCCCCACGCGCCGCGCUCCCUGCGGGCGGCGGGGGCUCGGCCAGGCACCCACCCGGCCGCCCCACGCGCCGGGCUGCCUCAGGCCGCGCGGCUCGCUACCUUCCAGGGCCGCUCCUGCCGCAGGUCUCGGAAGUCCUGUCCGUAGAUGGACUCCAGCACCUGCAGCUCGUUCUCCUGGCGGAGCGGGUAACUCUCCGGGGCCUCCUCCGCCGCCGGCGCGCCGCUCACCCGGGCCAUGUCAGCUCUGGCAGCGGGAGCCGCUGCUAGCCAUGGCAGGGCCGCCGCCAAGCACUGGCCGCACCGGGCGCCUGCCACCGUGGAGGCGGCAGAGGCCCCAGCGAGAGCGCGGCCCUUCCACCUUGGGAGCCGGGCUCUGCUGCAGGCCCCACCCGCCGCUGGUGCUGCCCCCCGCGGUGGCAGGAGGAGCCGCCGCCUCUCAGGCCCUGUAAAACGAGGGCCUCACGGCCUCCUCCCUACAGCUCAGCCUCGGGACAUGUCCUGACAUUUGCACAGCGCUUCUCCACCUCAGCCCUGAUACUCCCAGACCCCGUCUGACAGAUGAAGGGGAAAGGAAAGAACAAGACUGGAGCACCCGCGGGGGAAAUGAUACUCUGAACUUUACUAGAACUGGCUCUCCAAAAGUCCUCAGUCUAAGAUUGUAAAUAUUUCAAAGUCUGUUAGGUAAACGGAUAGUUUCUAGUGUUUAUGAACCCUAGAGACUUCUCAUACACUUUCUUUUGGGGGUGUGGGCACAAUUAAGAUCGCAGCCCCAUUUUGCUAGGUGCUGCAUGAAUACACAGGAAGACGUGGUCCCAGCCCCAGAAGCUUAAUAAAAUUAUAUUUCAUGCAGUGCAUAGCCAAGUUUCAAAGCUGUAUUAAGUUCAUGUUCAGCUGUAAACUUUUGAAAGACCAAACCUAACAUUUUGCAUUUACAAACAAUCUCCAUUCCUUGAGGUGUUGGUAACGCUGAGGUUCCACUGUAUUUUUAAGGUGCUUAGCUAGCCUCAGAUGAAAAUAAUUAUAGAAUGGCAAAGUAUGGUUACUAUUAAUAAAGACUAUAUUGUGCAAAA